GCUUCUGUACAAUAUUACUUUCUCUGUUACAAUAACUGUCCCUCAGAAUGAACAGGAUCAUCAUCCUCUGUAGUAUGAAUAAUCACAAGUGUGUGUUGGUGUGUUUUUUUGUUGAAUAAGUGAUGCAGAAAGGCGUCCUCUCACUCAGAUGUCAGGUUUAAUAACAUCAAGAUCAAACUUAAUAGUGCAUUAUUAGACAGUUUACACAUUCUCAUUAAUAAGUACAUCAAUCUGGAGCACACACAGAACCUGGACCUUCAUUGCAGCAUAGUAAGAUGAUUAGCAUCACACUGCAGCGUGAACAUAUAACGUUGGUAAACAAAUAAAUACACAUUAUCUUGCGGCAGCUGUCUUGGUGUCGGGUUAUUUUGCUGAUAAAAAUGGCACUUCAUUUAAAAAGAAAAGGCUUAGAGGAAAAGUAAAAUCUGUAUAUUAUGCAGACAAAAAUAUUCGACAAAUCUAAACAAUAAA